GCUCCUAAAGGAUAACAGCUCAUCCAUUGGUCUUAGGCACCAAAAAUUCUUGGUGCAAAUCCAAGUAGGAGCU
rnacentral:tRNA from 1 species